rnacentral:lncRNA from 1 species
GACAAUUUUUUUGAAUUGAUUGUUUAGCUCGAUCAAUCGCUUCAUAAAGAAAACCCAUUGUGGGCUUUGUAUCACCAUCCACCAACCUUAAUACUUUAACUAUAUGCUCGAAAUUUUUUAAUAUAUCACUAGCCCUACUCCAGAAUUCAUGAUCCAAAACAAUCUUCCUUGCUUCAAGUGUUGGCCCAUUCUUUUGUUUGUAAAAUUUAGAUUUUCUAAAUUCUUCGGAGUUGAACAUUUGUUUCAGGCCUUGCUUUUGAUUCAUAAUUGCUU